AUUGAACGCUGGCGGCAUGCCUUACACAUGCAAGUCGAACGGUAACAGGUCUUCGGAUGCUGACGAGUGGCGCACGGGUGAGUAAUACAUCGGAACGUGCCCGAUCGUGGGGGAUAACGAAGCGAAAGCUUUGCUAAUACCGCAUACGAUCUACGGAUGAAAGCAGGGGACCGCAAGGCCUUGCGCGAACGGAGCGGCCGAUGGCAGAUUAGGUAGUUGGUGGGAUAAAAGCUUACCAAGCCGACGAUCUGUAGCUGGUCUGAGAGGACGGCCAGCCACACUGGGACUGAGACACGGCCCAGACUCCUACGGGAGGCAGCAGUGGGGAAUUUUGGACAAUGGGCGAAAGCCUGAUCCAGUCAUGCCGCGUGCAGGAUGAAGGCCUUCGGGUUGUAAACUGCUUUUGUACGGAACGAAAAGACUCUGGUUAAUACCUGGGGUCCAUGACGGUACCGUAAGAAUAAGCACCGGCUAACUACGUG
rnacentral:rRNA from 1 species